rnacentral:rRNA from 1 species
UGGAAACGACUGCUAAUACCGCAUAAGACCACAGAGCCGCAUGGCUCAGGGGUAAAAGGAUUUAUUCGCUUGAGGAUGGACUCGCGUCCAAUUAGCUAGUUGGUGAGGUAACGGCCCACCAAGGCGACGAUUGGUAGCCGGACUGAGAGGUUGAUCGGCCACAUUGGGACUGAGACACGGCCCAGACUCCUACGGGAGGCAGCAGUGGGGGAUAUUGCACAAUGGGGGAAACCCUGAUGCAGCGACGCCGCGUGAAGGAAGAAGGCCUUCGGGUUGUAAACUUCUGUCGUACGGGACGAUAAUGACGGUACCGUACAAGAAAGCCACGGCUAACUACGUGCCAGCAGCCGCGGUAAAACGUAGGUGGCAAGCGUUGUCCGGAAUUACUGGGUGUAAAGGGAGCGCAGGCGGACUGGCAAGUUGGAAGUGAAAUCUAUGGGCUCAACCCAUAAAUUGCUUUCAAAACUGCCGGUCUUGAGUAGUGCAGAGGUAGGCGGAAUUCCCGGUGUAGCGGUGGAAUGCGUAGAUAUCGGGAGGAACACCAGUGGCGAAGGCGGCCUACUGGGCACCAACUGACGCUGAGGCUCGAAAGUAUGGGUAGCAAACAGGAUUAGAUACCCUGGUAGUCCAUACCGUAAACGAUGAUUACUAGGUGUUGGAGGAUUGACCCCUUCAGUGCCGCAGU